AAGUCUAACCUGCCCAAUGAGUAGUUGAAUGGCCGCAGUAUUUUGACUGNGCAAAGGUAGCAUAAUCAUUAGUUUCUUAAUUAGGAACUGGAAUGAAAGGUUGGACGAGAAAAUAACUGUCUCUUUAUAAAUUAGUUAGAAUUUUAUUAUUAAGUUAAAAAGCUUAAAUAUUUUUAAAAGACGAGAAGACCCUAUAGAGUUUUAUAUAAUUAUUUUUAGUAAUUAAAAUUGUAUAGUUUAAAUUUUACUAAUGAUUAUAUUUGAUUGGGGUGAUUAAAAAAUUUAUUAAACUUUUUUUUUAUGCAAACAUUGAUUUAUGAUUUAUUGAUCCAUUAAUAUUAUGAUUAUAAGAUUAAAUUACCUUAGGGAUAACAGCGUAAUUUCUUUUUAGAGUUCUAAUCGAUAAAGAAGUUUGCGACCUCGAUGUUGGAUUAAAAUUUAAUUUUGGUGUAGAAGCUAAAAAAUUAGGUCUGUUCGACCUUUAAAAUUUUACAUGAUCUGAGUUUAAACCGGUGUGAGCCAGGUUGGUUUCUAUCUUUAAAUAAUUUUAAUAUUUUAGUACGAAAGGACCAAAUAUCAUUAAAAUUUAU
rnacentral:rRNA from 1 species